AGCUUUGCGCAGUGGCAGUAUCGUAGCCAAUGAGGUUUAUCCGAGGCGCGAUUAUUGCUAAUUAAAAUACAGGAUGCUUUUGUGAAAUUCAUUGCUGCUUUGGAAUAUUUUUAAUAAAA
ensembl:snRNA U4 U4 spliceosomal RNA